AGCAGCCGCGGUAAUUCCAGCUCCAAUAGCGUAUAUUAAAGUUGUUGCAGUUAAAAAGCUCGUAGUUGAAUUUCGGAGUUUGUCGGUUGGUCGGGCUUCACUGUCCGCACUGGCCUGAUGGAUUCCUACCUUCUGAAUAACCAGCAUGCUAUUAAUUUAGUGCGUUGGGGAAGCAGAGCUAUUACCUUGAAAAAUUAGAGUGCUUAAAGCAGGCUUACGCUUGAAUAGAUUAGCAUGGAAUAAUAAAAUAGGACGGCUUGGUUCUAUUUUGUUGGUUUCUAGGAUCACCGUAAUGAUUAAUAGGGAUAGUUGGGGGCAUUAGUAUUCAAUUGUCAGAGGUGAAAUUCUUGGAUUUAUUGAAGACUAACUUCUGCGAAAGCAUUUGCCAAGGAUGUUUUCAUUAAUCAAGAACGAAAGUUAGGGGAUCGAAGACGAUCAGAUACCGUCGUAGUCUUAACCAUAAACUAUGCCGACUAGGGAUCGGACGAUGUUAAUUUUUAAUGACUCGUUCGGCGCCUU
rnacentral:rRNA from 1 species